CAGUAUGGCGCGGAGUGGGACGAAAGAGAGGCUACGUUCGGUGACGAACAAUAACGAUAAAGCGUAUAAUGGUUAAGCGCGACAAAUAUACAUAGGCAGCUCUAGGAGCGCGAGCUUCCUUGGAACUUGGAGCGCCAACGAAGUGUGGUGCAACGGAGGGAGAGAGAGAGAAAAACACAGAGCGAGAGAGAGUGUGAUAGAGGUGAACGGAGGAGGAAGAGGUUAGAGAAGGGAUCCACAUAUGCAUACAAUUGAUACAGAUAUACCAUCGUCUUUAUAUACGUGUCGCGUUAUUCUUGCUGCUGCCGCGCGCGGUAUACCGAGCCGGCAUAACACGAACGGCCCGAGCGGAGAGCGCCUCAUAGUCUACAAUACGAUAACGCCGCUCUCAUAGAUUCGAUGUAGCCAGCCGAACGAACCAGACUACCGGAUACCUGCGCGACCGUCCUCCGCCGCCUUAUUGCGCUGACUAUUCGCGACAGGACAGGUUCGCGUACAUCUGUUCUUGUCAUAAGGAGUGAUUUAGGGCUGGUUGCGGGCAUUGAUCUACCCGCCGCGGAGGAUAUCGACCAUAGAACCGCGGAUCUCUCUUCAAAAAAUCCAAGAUCGAACGUGUUCCAUUAAGCAACAACGUUUCAAUGCCAUUUUUCAGGGUAAUGUUGUAUGAUUUGAGGUUAAGUUAAUGGAAUAAGGAGAUAGCAGAGGAUGUCGGUAAAGUUUGAAGGUGAAGUCGACACAUAGAUUGCUUUUAUGUAGCAAUGGCGUUCAACCGCUCUGUUUUCAAUUCUAUGGCGUCUGCGAUAUCGAUAUCGAUUACAUUGAUUUUGUUUGAAUAACAGAGUUUUUGGUACUGUUUAGUGAAUUAUCUUUAAUUGUACGUGUUUUCCGUGAAUAGUGUAAUAUUUUGAAGUGUUCACAACUUAACCUGGAUCUAACCUAAAAUUCACCUCAUGUUUAUGGUACCUUUGACUGAUCUUUUGAUUAUAUCCAUUGUUACACCCGAGUCAGAAGAGAGGUAGGCCUGGCCACGUUGGUACCGCCUACUAGAGUGAUCCCGACAAGGAAGGACUUGACCAACCUCGUCCUGCCCCUCCAGCACGAUCCUCUACUCCUGGACUCAACCUGACGGGAUCACGUUCUGUGCUGUCGUUCCGAUUAAUUCUUUUGCUGUAAAGGGUGCACUCUUUGGCCGAUUCACCUGUCGCAAAGCGUAUUGGAGAUCGUUGAUGCCGUGGAAAGAGAAAUGGCGGCAGUUCAGGUUUAUGCAACCCAGAUAUAUUUAUCAUUCUUCCAGAAGAGUAAUUACAAAGACAUUUAUGACAGAAAAUCUUCAUUCAUCGGUCCUCAUCCACUGAACCAGAUGAAUCGAACCUACGUUACAACUUAUUAAGUCGAUAUUCCACGAAAACGACACUUUUGAAAAUUUCCUUGCCUCGUUGCCAAAUCUUCAAAUUCCCCUAAACGAAUUAGAUGUUAAUCCACGCUCCUAAGCACACGUGCUUCAUCGUGACAAUCGUAGCGAGGAUAGGACAGGAUAGCAUAACGACGAUUAACCACGUUCAUCCAGUAGCUGGUGUAUAUACAUAUAUAUCGGGUUUCGUGAUAUUUCUUAAUUAAAUAUAGCCUCAAGUUAAAAAUGAAAUUAAAUAGAAGCCAGUAUUUUUCGCCGCCGCCUACCGGCGCCGCGUUCACCGCAUGGCCAACCCUUUCAACCAGUUUCUCGGUCGUCGACAAUGGCGAGUAAGGUUGCACGGCCGUCGUACGCCCAUUUCGACUCUCUCUCUCUGCAACCCCUUCUCGCUUUCUACGGGCCACCCACCAUACAUAUUUCACGUCGAAAUAAUUAAACGCCGCUGGACCGCGAGUCGACUCGCCUCGGCUCGAUUUCGAAGCCUGGCCUCGCUGAUUAUUAAUUAGAUCGUGCGUGCCUUACCGAGGCAAGCCUCUCGAUUUCCCGAUAAGCUGCUGACCAUCGGUGUGGGCUCCUAGCCAUGAAAACUCCUGCGGUAAAACGAGUAUUAAUGGAAACUGAUAGACCCAACCGAUUAUCUUUGCGUGCAAAGAGACGUUCUAGUUAUAUGCGUGUUGGAUUAUCUUUGUUUGAAUUUCAUUUUACCCUCCUUAUACAGAACAGUGGUGUUUUAAAAUGAUUUGAAAUAAUGUAAAAUGAUUUUAAUAUUAAAAAUGCUGGAUGGGGAAUAUUUGAAUCGCAUCGACUUGUCUUAACAUCAACGUUGAUUUACUAUUUUUGCUAUUGAAACAGAAAUCUCCAUUUUCUUUAUUACACAGUGUGUGUUCUUUUUCUGUUAAAUCCUCUGAAAUUUAUAAAUAUUUUAAUUAGGUAUAUCAUUUGUAACACUCUGGGAAUCUUCUCCUAAAACAAAAAUUACUUUGAAACUUUCGGCAAGAUAUAAAUGACAUAAUGAAAAUUAUAGGGGAAAAAAUAUAGAAAUAGAUAGAAUUUUUAAAAUACUUAAGCGUUGAAAAUUAGAGUUACAUACAAAUAAGUAAUUUAUGUCAUACUGAUUAAUAUAAGGCGGUUUCCCUAAAAAUUCAUAGGAUUAAAAUGAUUUUAACAAUGUUAAAACAUUUGUUCAUCGUCUUAAUGAUCUGCUGUUCAAUUUGUCGAGAAGUUUGACGUUCGCGUGGCACUAAUUCUUGGAGAUACUGUCGUCUCAAAGGCGAUUAUCAAUUGCCUUGUCAAUUACACCCCGUCCAAGAAUGACGUGCACAUGUUACUGAACCCUCCUGUAACUAGACCCCUUCCUCUUCCUCUGUGUUGCUGCGACCGAAUCUCGAGGCUCUGGCAUGAUCGCAACGAGUUAUUUAAUUACCACGAUCUAUCACUGGCUGUCAGCUUCCAGUCUAUAAUGCAUGAUCGAUCGAGCCUCGACUUUCCUAUGGCAACCCUUUGCGUCCACACCUCCGGUCCCGUGUGUGUUACGCGUGUUCAUCUAACCGAAACGCCAAGGAAAUCUCUUCUGUUCCAUCAGAUUUUCUGUCGUUGAUACCUUUAUACCUUUGUUUGAGAAAGCAGCUAUGAAAUAUUUUCUUUUCUUUUUCAUAGUAAUUGUUAUAUUACAAAUAUUUCUUGCGUAAUAUAAUAUAUUGAGAGCAUUCAUUAUUUUACUUCUUUUCCUGAAGAAUUCCUCACUUUUUCUAUAUCUAUAGCAUAAUCGCAUGAAGUAUUUAAUGUUACGUUUAAUAUUAAGGUUCGAAUUGGCAACUUUGUUCAUCGUUGUUCAUCGAAUACUAUCGACCUUAUUGCGUUGAUGAUAGUUACUAUUGAUGAUAGUCGCUCUUCCUAUUUUAUGAAACAUAGUAUGUACAACGUACAAUCUGACGAUCUUAUUAAACGAGUCCUAUGAUAUUCCGGUUUAUUAAAAAUUGAUCAAUCAAAUAUACCAUCAAAUCUCUAAAACUGUUUCACACGGUCGAGAGGAUUUCGAUGUUCGGAAAAUACAAAGCAAUCGUGGCAUUCAAAGUGUAAAGCAUUCUGCGUUCGACACAGAUUAAAUCCAACCACAUUGAAACGAAAUUCCUUUGUUGCUCGCUGAACCUGGUGCAAGCGUCUUCAAAGGGGCGCACGUAUUUAGACAUUAUAAUUUUUUCACAGUGGAAGGGAAUCAGGAAUCGAUUAAGGUAUAAGUUUUAUGAGAAGAAAGAGAGAUCGGUUGGAAGAGUGGAACGAGCUCGCUCGGCGCUUUUCCAUCGUCAUUUUUAUCGGCGCGGAUAAGACAGCCGGGCUAAUUCGCAUUCCCCUUGAUGUCUGCCGGAGUUAACAGUUUUAAGGGAUGAAACGAGUAUAGAUCGAAGGCUGGAAGCAUCGCGAAGGCGAAGGAAGGCGAUGCUUAAGAAGGGAGAAGGCACGCAGGUUAGGGGCGACGACGAGAAAAGGAGACGAAGCAAGAAAUUGAUACAGCAUACGAAAAUGAAUUGCCCCUUUGCCGAAGAAUGUUCCACGGCAAUCUGCCUUGUGCCUCGCUUUCUUAUACUUUUUAUGCUCAUUUUCAAUUUUCCCCAUACUGCCGAUCCACCGGGCUCUCCUAUAAAACGUUGCGGUAACGUGUCACUCGCGUCUCCCACUUGCACUUUUAUUCUUUCCAACGAUGACAGGAUGAAUACAAACUGACUCAUUAUUUCCGCCGCCUUGUUUCACGUUGCGAUCGAAAAUGGAUUAUGUAUAUGAUUCUAGGUAUUCAAUUAACGAAUUCAUUAUUCCUGGAGGAAAAUCUAUUGUUUUAUGGAGGGAUAGCAUUUUUUAUUUUAUUGGCAAUUCGAUGAAAAUGUUGGUGUUUAGACUGAUCAACCCAAGUAAAAUUAUUUACAACUGAAAAUUAUCAAUCUACUGAUUUACGAUUCUUUUCAUUCUUUCUUUUUCUGUUGUUAAUGAAAUCCACCGUUAAAUAUUCUUUAUAGAGAAACGAAUAGAUCUAAUCACGCAAUUUUCUUAAUAUUCCUGGUAUAAUUUAAUUUACAAAUCUAAAGAUAAUACGUACUCCAUGGAAUCUAUAAAUUUUGGAAAACCAUUUGUAAAAAGAGCACGCAAAAUUUUGUACCUUCUUACACCUUCUUUAUUUAAUCUACCCACCUGUGUAAUCUAUAUCCGUAGAAUCUUUUUCUAAUUUCUAUCCCUGUGCCUACCCCUUAAAAUACUAACGUAUAUUCAAAGACGACCGCGUACAUUAAUCACCAUGAUCGACGCACAUACAUAUAUACAACGUGUAACAAGUACAAUUAAAACAUGACAGGCAGACAAUGAUAAGAAUCCGAAUCGAAUUUAAAACGACGUCCUGGCAGGAUGGUGGGGUCGAAGAAGAUAAAUUUCAGCCCGUGGAUGCGAAAUCAAGGCUCGAGUAUCUAAAGUGCUUCCAAGACGAGUCGUUGCUGGUGCGAGAUAGGGCCAUGUUCGUUCCGUUGCUUAUUUGUCGCUGGAGAAACGAAACGACUGGGGGAAAUGGCGAGUCGGUUCUGGGGGUGGAGUUGAAGUUGGGGAUUCUUCGAUACGGUACAAAUAACACUUGCAGACACCGAUUCCACUUUCUCUCGCUUUCUCUCUUUCUCUGUUGCACGUAAAAGGAGCAACUCCAGAUUCUUCCAUUCGCCUCGGGACUCCUCCAUUCGUGGUUCGAUGGCUUCGUAGAUGCUAUCGCUAAGAAGGAAUUCGGAAUCCUAAGAAUACCGCGAUCGUGAUACUGUCUUUUACUUGCGAUACUUUUUUCUUGACUACGAAUAGCUUUAAAUUUUAAUUCAACCUGUUUCGAUUAAAUAAACGAAAGACUCUUUAGAAAUUAUAAUCGCGAGUUUCAUCGUGUUGCAUGAUUUAAAAAAGAAGAAGAGACAUUUGCAAAUAUAUUGUAUGAAAUUAUUCGCCCACUCCCUUCACGGUUAGAAGGAUCGGGCGAAGCAAUCUCGUUCGUUCAGCACGAAGCAUUUUUGGAGCGUUCUUAAAGCAUUCUUAGAGCACUGGAAUGUUUGAUUUCUAAAUCGAGCUAUCUCCAAACGACAGGUUCCCCUUUUUCACUUUCGUUUUACUUUACUAGAUUCAGGUUUACUAGAUGCAGAGUGACAAAAAGAAAAGAAGAUUUUAAACAUUCAUGAAUAUAAAUACUGUUUAUUAUAUUAUUCGAAAAUUGUGUAUUGUUGAAUAAUAGAGUAGGUCACGUGUGCUAUACCUGGAAGAUCGACACAAUAAUUCAAUUACUAUCAAAGCGUGACGAAUUGAAGCAUUUCGUUAACCGUUAUAAUCAGCUUUAGCGAACCAGAAGAGAUUAAGCGGUUGCGAAAAUUUCGGUAGAGCGAGGCUGAAUUAUUUAGCAACGCGGAAGAACGUAUCGGUGGUAAGCAGCAAGCACUUCCUAUUUCCGUUCCGUAAGCCUCCUUGCCUUUUUGUCCCGCUCGACAACAAUGGACCAACUCGAUUUCCAGCGCGGAAACGCGUUUCCUACAGUUGCUUGAGCCGAUUCCGCCGUCAGCAAGGAGGCAAGCGAAGAAAAAGCAUCGAUCUUGGGGAAAAAAGCGACGCGGGUUCCGAAUACCUGGUACCUACGGCGCUGGAAAAAAUAUGGGAAACCCCAUCCUUGGAAAAGAAGUGGGGGCGGCCGUGAAGGAUGGGGUGGUUACCGUGCGAUACGUGGGUAUAAUAUUUCAAUGCUCGCCGGAGCCUGUCCGGCAAGGCUCGUCUCUCGCUGCCAUCUCUGUCAAGUAAUGUUAUUAUAAUUAUACGCGUGUGUGCUUGGUCGGUCAUUUCUUGUGCCCGUCCAUCCCCACUUCCACACGCCACCCCUUUGUCUGUCUUUCUCUUCUUUCACCUUUUCCGCCACCAGCGCCGAGCUGCCUGCCUCUUCUGUCGCCUCUCUUCUCCUUUUUACCUCGCCUUUCUCGUCCCUCUGCUCUCUGUUCGACGUUCUCUAUGCCCGGGUAUUGUGCAAUUAAAAUGUCGUAAUUGUCCUUUGGAAUUUAUCUUGAAAUUCGUCGCUCGCCAGCCUUUCAUCUCCCCCGUACUCGCUGUUUCGCGAUACUCGUUUGGAUAGAGAUAUCGAACCGUCGAAUCGUCGAUAUGAAACGUUACAGGCGUUUAAAGCGAUAACGCAAUAUUACACCUCUUAUCUGCUCGAUAUGCGACCAAAUUCCUUCCUACGUAUCUCCAUCGAAUAAAAUUUCUUUCUCUCCUGAAACUAUUCUGUUACUUUCUUCACAAACUUCACAAGAAUAAAGUUGUAUCCAUUCGAAAGUAUCCAGUAUGAAGUAUUUUGCUAACACUUGUAUAUUUAAAAACAAAGAGGAUAGGUAAUAGCGGAGAUCGAAGAAGCUUCUUGGUUGAAACGGAUGUUCAUUGUAUCCGCAUUCUUGGACGGCAGCAAGUCCACCAACGGAGGCAGCCUCGGUCGAUACUUACCCCGCGACGAAAGGCCGCCGAGGAGAUAAAACCGGAUGGUGUGUAUGUAUGCGAUCACCUGAAUUUCAGAAUUGCAAAUUCUUUAAUUCACGGGGACGCAAUGGCGGCGACGGCAGCCGCCGCGGUUUGCGACAGUGGUGCCCGCCAGCAAAAUACCUUCGCCUGACCUAUACAAACAUCGCGGGAGACGAGGGAUGUGUAUUCAAAAAUUUACAUAGGUACAUUUUGAUUAAAGUGUCCUAGAAAGCAAAUCUAAUACAGCAGCCGGCCCGUACCUACAUGCCGUACCCCCUCGUCCUUCUCUCUUUCCCUUUUUACUCCCGUUUCCCUCUUCCCCGUGUUCUUCUCUUUCGCGCCGUCUCUUCUCUCACGCCCCUUCUAUCUAUAGAGGGAAAGAGCGGAGCGCGCGGAAUUGCGGAGAGGAUUAUUACGUAUCCUUCGGAAACUUUCCGCUGGACGGAGAAUUGGAUCCGGACGAAGUAUGAAAGGACUGAAUGUUUCACGGACGCGUCUAUUAUAUCAUGAUAAUCUCGGGAUUUAUUACUCGGUGCUGGGCUUAUUUUGACGGCGGCGUGAUGCAUUAAGCGACUCGCAAGUGGAAAAUGAUACGCGCGAAUGUUAAAUCUCUGAGGACCGUAAUUAAAAGAAUGCCCCGGAUGAUCAACGAACGCUGAUCGUUUCCUCGUCCAAAUUUUUACUUACCUCCGACCUUUAUGUCGAAGUUCAUCGUUUAUUGUCGUACAGAUUAUUCUUGCAAAAUGCGGUGUUUUAAGUAUGGCUAUCAGUAGGUUGAAUGUAUUUGUGCAUUUAUGAGAAUUUUGAUGAUUUAGGAACAUAUAGAACGCGUGUGAGGCAUCCAAAUACUUCUACUGUGUUUACAAGUUGAUUUUAUAAAAAUGUGUUCAUAACAAGUAUACAUUCGCAUUAAACGUUUUCCAACUUCUACGUAGAUUUUCACACUGGUUUCAAAUUUUACCAAUACAGUGACGAUAGUUGUGUCUCAUUACAGUCUUAAUAAAAUCUCAAGAUGUUUCAUAUAACGCUGUGGACAGAAAAGUUUUCCUUUAUAAAUGUUAGAAUACUUUCAUGAGCAAUUGCACGUAAUACUUGACGCAGUAAAAUUAGAUACGACGGAAUCUAUUCCAACGGGAACUUAACGUCGCGGGUAUAAAAGGCUAGGUCCUUUGCAUCCUCGUGCGCCGAUUGGAUUUGCCAAUUAAUUGCCGACGAGGGAUAAAGCCGGCGGACCGUGGAUGAAAGAAUAACGACGCGGAAACGAAACGAAAUUUAAAUAUUCUCGCGGUAUUGCCGACAUUCCUCUGAGCCUCCCCGGCUCACAGGAAGGGAGGAGCGCGAGCUCGGUGUAAUUGCAAAAUUGCAUUAGCUUUGUGUUCUUCUGCCGUUCGCCCAGACGUAAGAGAUACGCAUGUAGAGAGCGUUGCAUCAGAUGAUUCAUAUGGAUUUUCAUGUUUCCCUUCCACCACCCCAUCCAGCGAUAAGUAUCGUUCUUUCAGACCGACGGACCGACGGCCGAAGCGAGAUAAAUCUUUCGUAGAUUUUUGUGAACGCCAAGGGAAUCAUUAUUGCGAGUGCUGAUCACCUAGCCUUUUAAUUAUGGAAAUGUACGGAAUGCUUCCUGGAUGUUAGGAGAUACGAAACGUCCGCCGAAUGGGUGUCUGAUAAAGUACAUGCACUUUGAUAAAAUACAGACACGUAUCGGAGCUUCGUUAUUAUUCGCACGAAGCAUCGUUGGAAAAGGUAAUCUCCUUGAAAAGAUAUUUUCUCGGUGUAUCCAAAAUGCAUAUUUAACCUAAUAAAGAAAAAUAUCAUAGUUAUAUAAUUGUUCCUAAAAAUAUG